ensembl:lncRNA
GAUUUUGAUUAAGAUCCAGAACCUGCAUUCUGGGUAGACCACUUCCUGGGGCCAAGUGUGGCCCCAAUAUUUGAGUCUGAGUCAAGGUCUGAAGGCCCAUGUUCCACUGAAUCGCAGUCUCAGAGGCCCAAGUGCCCAGUUGGGGGGAUCCUCUGCAACCCUCAGGAUGGGGUUUCCAAACCAAGAACUCUCUAAGGAUCAUUGGAGGCGCCUUCGGAGCUCACGAAGGGGAGGCCUGUGAGGGUUCCACCUGGUACCCACUGCACCACAAGCAACUCAGUUUUCAAAUGGUUUCAGAUUAGAAUUCUGCAUAAAGUUUCUUUUGGAGGGGAAAAAAAAGUUGACUACCUAAAAAAGUUAAAUAGAGCUGCGGGGAGGAAGCCCGAGGAGUUGAUGAGUUGGUAGCCAAAGUCCUCUGUGUGAACACGAGAGGAAGGGAAUUUUCAUCGGUUGGGCCAUACGGGAGGCAGAGUCAUACAAUAAAAAGGAGGAUGCCUCUAAGAUUUUUCGCACUCUAGCAGGGUGCCUUUAGCGUCUGGAGGUUAACCCAUAUGUAUACAUCCCACUUUCCUUUAGCAAAUAUUUAUCACAUGCUUGUAAGCUGCACACUGUGCUAUGCACUGCAGACACGAUGGGGAGCAAAAAUGUCAAAAUCCCCAUCCUCCAAGGGAUUUUUGGCAAAACAGACAGGAAUCCUUCCAGGCAAAAUACAUUAAUCACAUAAAUAUGCAAUUACAAACUGUGAUAAGUGCUGUGAAGGAAAAGUGCUGCAGGAGCCAAUGACAGCUCGUGCCAGGAGGAGCCACCCUCCGCUCCCCGUGCGCUCCUUCCCAAAGUCACACCCGCGUGAAGCCCCCCCGCGGCCGGUCGCCCCAGAGCCACACAAGACCUUUGAAGGGCAAAGCAUCACGAAUCCCCUGGGUGACACAGCAGUCGAUAGAAAUCUGGGAGACCACUUCAUGUAUAGUUUUUCCAGUCGUCUUAAUUUAAAAAGCAGCUUAAUGAACCAAACGCUGGGUUCCCUCCAGCUUUGAUGGAAUGAGGAUGAACACUCCUCGUUCCUUUGGACAUCCCAUUUGUGUGAUUGGAUGGUAACCUCAUGUGCUCCGGUCUCAAUUCCCAGCAGAAUUUGAGGCUGGUUUCUUCCAACCAGGAUGCUAAAGUUUUGGAAAAGCUCACUGUGUUUUUGAAACACCCUCAACUGUGUGUGCAGAUUUUUACCACCUGCUCACAUCUAGAUACCCGGUUACAAGUGGCAGCUGCACUCAGCCGCUGGGGAGGUCCAUGAGGAAAAGUUCUGGAAGCUGGAAGUCCAAGAGGUGUCAGUAGGGUUGGUACCUUCUCGAAGCUCUGAGGCAGAAGCCAUCCCAUGCCUCUCUUCGGUUUCCAUUGGUUGCCGGCCAUCCUUGGUGCUGCUUGCCUCCAACGUCACAUGCCACUCUACCUCUGUGUCUGUGUCUCCAUGUCUUCACACGACAGUAACAGAAUGAGUCUUGCAGCCUCAAAAGUCUCCAAAGUGAGUUGUAUGGAAUAACAUAAAGAAUUAAUAAGAAGUUUUGAAUUUCCUCACUACUCAAAAGACCCACAUGAUUUCUUGCAGUCGGUGAAUCUAAUUAGAAGUGAGAAAAACAGAGAGGAGAAGCCAUGCGGGACUUCUGCAUUCAUCUUACACCAAAAGAAGUCCCCAUUUCCAGGAACAUUUUGGAGUAGAUCUUGAGAAAAACCACUCCUUUUGUGAACCGUAAUGUGAUGGAUAAAAUUUUUGAAGCAUCUCUUUAAAUGCCUGGUUGACCUGGUGAGAAACUAAUGGAAUUAUCUGGAGGUCAAAAAUGGCAAAUCCAGUGAGGCAAGUGGGAAUUUGAGUUGGUAUUUACCCCUGGGUGUGUGCUAGCCCCUACUCACCUGGAGAUUCCAUUUAAAUGGGCCAUGCACAUGUGGACUGGAAACAAAGUCUCGAACAACCCAGGGAAGUUACAUGUUUAAUUGUGUCCCCCUAAAUUCUUAUGUUGCAGUCCUAACCCCUAUGACACCAGAAUGUAACUUUAUUUGGAAAUAGGGUCAUUGCAGAUGUAAUUAGUUAAGUUUUAAGAUGAGCUCAUUAGGGUGAACCCUACUCCAAUAUGACUGGUGUUCUUGUGAAAAAGGAGAAAUUUGGACACAGACAUGCACACAAGGGAGGAUGCCAAAUGAAGAUGAAGGCAGAGAUCAGGGUGAUGCUUCCACAAGCCCAGAAAUGCCAAAGGUUGCCAGGAAACCCCCAGAAGCUAGGGGAGAAGCGUGGAACAGAUUCUCCCUCACAGCCCUCAGAAGGAACCAACCCUGCAAUGCCUUGAUUUGGGACUUGCAGCCUCCAGAAUUGUGGGAGAACACAUUUCUGAUAUUUAAGCCACCCAGUCUGUGGGAUUUGUUAUGGCAGCCCUAGUAAACUAAUACGGGGGGUCGCGCAAUUGGAUUGGAUGCCCCCACCCAAAGUGUGGCCUGCUCAGUAGGCAAAUGAAAGGGAGAAAACACCCACAGAGGAACCAGUCAAGACGCAGGCACCACAAGCCUGACUUGACACUACUCCUGGGAUGGGACAUACUCUGAGAUGAAAGUUUUGUUUGAAAUGACCCCAGGUUGAUAGUGUUCCCAUGCGCCUGGCAGAAGCAAAUGAAAAUUCCUCUCGAUGAACAUACUUUGAACCCAGACCUCAAAGAAAAAUCCCAUGGAUAACUUUCCAAGAAACAUGAACCCCUGGUCAAAAAUCAUUAAACACACAAAGAAACAGGAGUGAGGGUUGAUGGAAACAAAAAAGUGCUGAAAGAGAACUGCAAAGAACACAGAUAUGGACAUUUUAGAUGCAAAAUAUAAAAUAAGUAAUUUAAUAUGAGUUAAGAAAAAGGCACCGAAAAUAGGAGGGAGAAAAUGAGACUAUCAAAUUUGAUCAGGGAUAUUUGGAAAAGAACCCAAAAAAACUUCAACAAAUAUAUAAUUAUUUUAAAAGUGAAAUGGAUGGGGAGGGCCGGCCCGGUUGCCUACUGGUUAAGUUUAGUGCUCUCCGCUUCAGUGGCCCGGGUUUGGUUCCCAAGUGUGGACCUACAACACAUGUUGGUGGCAAUGGUGUGGUGGCAACUCACAUACAAAAUAGAAGGAGAUUGGCACAGAUGGUAGCUCAGGGACAAUUUUCCUCAAACAAAAAAGAGGAAGAUUGGCAACAGAUGUUAGCUCAGCCAAACUUCCUCAGGAAAAAAAAAUGAAAUGGAUGGUUUAAACAGGUAGGAUACAGCAGAUCUGACAAACUGGAGGAGAGAUCUGAGGAAGUUAUGCAGAAUGUAGACAAAAAGACAAAGAUGUGGAAAAUGGGAAGGAAGAGACAUAUGGAGCAAUAUGACAAGAACUAAAAUACGAUUAAUUGGAAUUCUAGAUGGAAGUGUUAGAAAGAAAGUAACAGGGCAAUAGUUGAAGAGCAAAUGGCUGAAAAAUUUUCUUAACUUGUUGAAAGACACUGUUUCUCAGAUUUAGGAAGCCAAGUGAAAUGCAGUUAAAUAGAGAAGAAACCCACCCAUACACUCACCAUAGUAAAACUGGAAUGCCAGGAGUUCCAAAGAUACAAGUAUGGGAAAGACUAGACAAAACUACCCCUAUUUGCAGGAUAUAGAAUAAUCUAUUUAAAAAACCCAAAAGAUCAUAACAAAUAAGACUUUUUUUUUUAACAAGGAAUGUAUUUUAUUUGUUUAUUUAUUUAUUUUUUGAGGAAGAAUAUCCCUGAGCUAACAUCUGCUGCCAAUCCUCCUCUUUUUGCUGAGGAAGACUGGCCCUGAGCUCACAUCUGUGCCCAUCUUCCUAUAUUUUAUAUGUGGGACCCGUGUCACAGCAUGGUUUGAUGAGCGGCAUGUAGGUCCACACCUAGGAUCCAAACCGGCGAACCCCAGGCCACCAAAGCAGAGGGCAUGAACUGAAUCGCUGCACCAUUGGGCUGGCCCCUGUUUGAUGAACAUGAGAUGCUCAGACUCACUAAGAAUAAAAGAAAUGCUAAUUUUUUUAAUUGAGAUAAUCUCAACCAAAAGAAUGCCAAUGAUUAAAAGUCAUAAUAACAGAAGUUGAUAAAGAUAAUGGAAAAGGCAGGUGUUGCUGGUAAGUAUAUACAUUCUGGAAGAGCAGUUUGGCUCUUUUAAUAGUUUAAUGUGCAUUCCUACUACCUGGCAUUUCCAUGUCCUAGUAUCUAUCCUCUAGAACCUUGCACGCAUGCACUAAGAGGUAUGUACAGGGAUUUUUAAUUUGGCAUUGUUUACAGUAGGAACAAAAAGCCAGAGGGGCCAACCGGUGGUGUAGUGGUUAAGUUCGUGCACACCACUUUGGCAGCCUGAGGUUUGCAAGUUCAGAUCCUGGGUGCAGACAUACACACCACUGAUCAAGCCAUGCUGUGGAGGCAUCUCACCUACAAAAUGAAGGAAGACUGGCACAGAUGUUAGCUCAGGGCCAAACUUCCUCACACACAAAAAAACCGGAAAGAAACCAAAUGUCCAUUAAUAGGAAAACAAUUGUGUAAACUAUGAUAUAUCCAUUCUAUAGAAUACUUAAAAAAAAAAUACUGAGGCGGAUCUGUAUACUCUGACAUGGAAAGCACUCUAAAUUAUAUUAAGUUGGGGCAGACAGGGAGAAAGCAAUUUGGACACUUUGCAUUGUUUACGUAAAGAUACACAUAAUACAAUUACCUAUUUUCAAAAGAGGAAAGCAAAUACAUAGAAAAAUUCUCAACGGAUACACACCGUCUGCAUCUGGGGACUGUACUUGGAAAGUAUGGAGGGCAAAGUUGGAGAUGUGAGUCAAAUGAUUUAUCUGUAAUUUUUUCAUUUGUCUAAGGAGAACAUAUACAUGAGUUAAUGUGAAAUUUAUCUUUUUAUUUGUUUCAAGCAACUGCAAAGUAUGAAAACCCAUUCUUUACAAAAAGCUGAAUUACAGAUUUAUUCUUCUCUGCAACAAAACACUUUGCAGUGGAACCUAUUUCAGUCGUGAGCUUCUUUUCCAAAUUGUUCACUUUACCUAGAUUUUAUUCACACAUCUUUUCUCAUCACUCUGUGCUGCGUAAAGCAAAGCACAGCUGCUCUGUGGAAAUGGUGAGAGUGACAGUGAAUCCAGAAUUAUUGUAGUGGUGUUCUCCUUAUUUACAGGUGUGGUAUUAUUCUAUCUCUCUUUUUUCCCCUUCAACUCGCCGUUUGUUAGAGCCAAGCUUCAGAACCAGAAUUCUGCCGUUCAGUGACUUUGGGACCUCACAUAAGUUACCCAAUGUCCCUAAGUUUCAGGUUCCCCAUUUCUAAAACUCAGGAUAACACCUACUUCAAAGGCUGGCUGUAUGAAAUAAGACAUUCAAAGUGAAACGAAUUAACAUAGUGCCUGAUCGACAGCGUUAGCUUUCCCUACUGAGUGGAAGGCUUCAAAAGUCAAGGGUGCCACCUAACAAUUGUGUGAACUUGAGCAAAGUAAUUCAGCCUCUCUGAGUCUCAGUUUUCUCCUCUGUGAAAUGGGUAGAACAACAUUUUCCUUGUAUGGAUUUCUCUGAAUCGUAAACAUAGUGAACAGCAAGCCCAAUACAGGGACCAUGAUGGUUGUCAUGUCAGUGUUUGUUCCUCUCCCUCUCCCCCUCUUCCCUUCCCGUGGUCUUCUGCAUUUCCCAGUUGACUCGGCAGAUGGAGCAGUUGAAUCGCAUGGUGAGCCUCAGCACAGCUGGCCUGAGUCACAUCCCCACAAAGCAGCUGCCCUGUGCUGCUUUCACUGGGGACAAACCUACACUCCUUCUCGAAUGUUUGGCAGUCGAGGGCAGCGGUCCUGGAAGGAGGUGGCAACAGCAGUGUUGCAAUACAGUCUGAGAUUUCACUAAACACUGAGCCACCUGGAGGCCCCCAUAAAUGCAAAGUCUGUCAUUUUUCAUGCCUAAGGCAGUCAAGCCAAGUAUCUAUUGCUUUUCGGCAGGCUCUUUGGCACACUUCAGAGGCACUACUUUAGGGCCAACUUCUCAUCAAAUUAAUAUUCUGUCUGUAGGGAAGACUUUGUUAACUAACUGAGUUUAAUGAAGAUUUUUUUCACUUUUGGAAAAAAGAAUAUGUUGGUUCUCCUUUUUUGGUCUGCUUGGAUGAAGGGAAGUUGAUGUUCUAGGUUGAAUGCAAGACUGGAAUAGGAUAUUCAGAGGCAGCUUCUUAUAUGGGACCACCUUUCCUAUGCCAGUCCUCAGAGGUUUAUGAGCUUACAUCCAGCACCUGACUUUCCAAGAUCCGACAAUCUCCUGGUCUGCCCUGCUCCGAGAAGCCGGGUUAACACUGGACCAACAUAAUGAGUGGAUGACUGAGGUCAGAGCAGCUGUGUUACAGCAGCAGAAUGUCCAGCACGUGAGCAGUCAUCACAGCGAGCCAGGGCAGAGCACAUGGCAGUGAUAUCCCAGAGUAAAAUUAAUUUCCGUGUUAUUCCAGCACAGCAGAAUUGCUGGGAGCCACAAGUUCAAUUUGAUCAGCACGUCUCAACCCUAUCAGACCCAGUGCCCCUCUUUUAUAACAAAUAUUGUGUAACUCUCCCCCAUAGUAUCCUAAAAUGAAAUGUACAGAUGCAACUUAUCUACGCAGAUAUUUUAGUCACUCUAACGUCCUAACAGAUAUAAAGAAUAAAAGCAAAGUCGUUAAUGAUAAAUAAAUAUGUAUUUCAAUAUGUAAAUACUCAGAGACAACUACAGCUAGAAGACAGAAAGCAGUCCAAUGCGUGUGCCUGUUCCUAGAAUCACCCUAAAUAUGGCAGCACAAACAGAAUAAGUGUUGGUGACUCAAAUACCAUGAGCUGCAUUGUAUUGGUGAAUAACUCUCAGUAAAGUUCCUACCAAAUGUUAAGUAUAAUCUUUCCUUAAUUUACAUAGAAUUAUUAUUGCAGACUACAGC